AUAUUGCACAAUGGGCGAAAGCCUGAUGCAGCGACGCCGCGUGAGGGAUGACGGCCUUCGGGUUGUAAACCUCUUUCAGCUCUGACGAAGCUUUAUUGUGACGGUAGGAGCAGAAGAAGCACCGGCUAACUACGUGCCAGCAGCCGCGGUAAUACGUAGGGUGCGAGCGUUGUCCGGAAUUAUUGGGCGUAAAGAGCUUGUAGGCGGCUUGUCGCGUCUGCUGUGAAAUCCCGGGGCUCAACCUCGGGCUUGCAGUGGGUACGGGCAGGCUAGAGUAUGGUAGGGGAGACUGGAAUUCCUGGUGUAGCGGUGGAAUGCGCAGAUAUCAGGAGGAACACCGAUGGCGAAGGCAGGUCUCUGGGCCAUCACUGACGCUGAGAAGCGAAAGCGUGGGGAGCGAACAG
rnacentral:rRNA from 1 species